rnacentral:rRNA from 1 species
UACGGGGGUGCGAGCGUUGUCCGGAAUCACUGGGCGUAAAGGGCGCGUAGGUGGUUUGAUAAGCAUGUGGUGAAAGUCCGGGGCGUCAACCCCGGAUCUGACCGUGUUGGACUGUCAGACUCGAGGACUGUAGAGGCAGGCGGAAUUCCGGGUGUAGCGGUGGAAUGCGUAGAGAAUCCGGAGGAAGACCGGUGGCGAAGGCGGCCU